rnacentral:rRNA from 1 species
UACGAAGGGGGCGAGCGUUGUUCGGAUUUACUGGGCGUAAAGGGCGCGCAGGCGGUUCUGUUUGUCGGGUGUGAAAGCCCCGGGCUCAACCUGGGAACUGCGCUCGAAACGGCGGAACUAGAGUUCGGGAGAGGAGAGUGGAAUUCCCAGUGUAGAGGUGAAAUGCGUAGAUAUCGGAAGGAACACCUGUGGCGAAAGCGGCUCACUGGACCAUAACUGACGCUGAGGCGCGAAAGCUAGGGGAGCAAACAGG